rnacentral:rRNA from 1 species
UACGUAGGGACCAAGCGUUGUUCGGAUUUACUGGGCGUAAAGGGCGCGUAGGCGGCGCGGUAAGUCACUUGUGAAAUCUCUGAGCUUAACUCAGAACGGCUAAGUGAUACUGCAGUGCUAGAGUGUGGAAGGGGCAAUCGGAAUUCUUGGUGUAGCGGUGAAAUGCGUAGAUAUCAAGAGGAACACCUGAGGUGAAGACGGGUUGCUGGGUCAACACUGACGCUGAGGCGCGAAAGCCAGGGGAGCAAACGGG